UACGUAGGUGGCAAGCGUUGUCCGGAUUUAUUGGGUUUAAAGGGUGCGUAGGUGGCCCUGUAAGUCAGUGGUGAAAUAUCUCAGCUUAACUGAGAGGGUGCCAUUGAUACUGCAGGGCUUGAGUACAGAUGAGGUAGGCGGAAUUGACGGUGUAGCGGUGAAAUGCAUAGAUAUCGUCAAGAACACCGAUAGCGAAGGCAGCUUACCAAGCUGUAACUGACACUGAGGCACGAAAGCGUGGGGAGCGAACAGG
rnacentral:rRNA from 1 species